GCUAUUUAAACAGCAGCCUCAAGCCACGCCUCUCCCUUCAUUCGAGGGGGAGAGGCCCCAUUUGCCCAACGCGCGCCACCAGCAGGCCGCACCUGGGAUAGCGAGCAUUUCAACAACCCUCGAAAGUGACGUGAGAGGCGAGACGGGAGUUUAUUGAGAAUAGUCGACAGUCGGCAAGGUGAAAUUGGGCAUUAGAAGUCACGCGUUUGAUACAAGACCAAAUGCUCCAAGUUCCAUUCUGCUGGGGAGGCUCUUCGUUGCUGUCAGACGCCGUCCUCAAAUCUCCCAAAUCCUGGAAAUCAGCGUUAGAAAUACAAGCCAACAGAUCUACUUCCAUGCGGGACUACUUCCUGCAGCGGAUGGGGACCUCAACUCGUCGCCGGGGAAGACGAAGCUGAAGCAGAAGACGGAGACGUCGGACAGGCAGUCGGUUCGGACGGCGGCCUCCGUGCCGCCGAACAACGACCUCUCGCGGCCGUCGUCGUCGUCGCUCGUCGCCGCCGUCGUCGUCUUCCUCAGCCGCUCGAGCCUGCGCAGGAUGCGCCGAUGCUCGCGACCGCACAUCAGGCCGCGGAACGCCAGCACGGCGGCCAGGUGCCUGCAGCUGCGAGCGCCGCAAACGCAACACGGAUGACGUCGGCAACGCAACGAACAAGAGACAACGCAGGACAACGCGGGGCAGUCGGCCGUAGACCGCAGGGGCCAAAAUCUAGGGCCCGGGGGCCACGUCCGGCCCCCCGGCCACAUUUUAGGUGGCCCCUAAAAGCAAAACAUUUCGCGUCAACUUCCGCGGUUCUCCAUGAAAUCGGGACCGACAUUUCACGUCGUCAUAUGUAAUAAAUAACAUUCAGAUAUUUUUUGUUACUAAACCGCUUUGGACUGGAACUUUUGGCGAACAAUUGUUGAGCAAAUUCUGACUUCAAAACAAACUAUCCAUCAAUUUGUCCCGUAAAUACGACGACGAGGUGAUGUAACAUUCAGAACGGCCGUCUGAGGAAGAACGUACCGACGACGUGGCCUGCGGCAAAAUGGAGUUUGUCACCCGCGCCGUCGGCAAGACGGGCAACGUAGGAUAUAGUAACAGCGGUUAGCGUCUUUUUACACCCGUACAACCGCGAACAAUGUUAGCCGAAAGGUUUUGCGUACAGUUAACGAGCACUCGAUUUUCAUGGCAAUUAUUCCGAUUAUUUCCAUUUCAUCGGAACGGGAAACACAAACGAAAGAAAAAAAUGCUGCCUGUCAAUUUGAAAGACUUAAGGAAAGACUUGACGGAGGCGCUGCUAAUUGGCUCGCCGACAGACCUUCAUUGUUACCGAGUUUUAGUUUUGGUUUUCCUUCGGGUGCUCACCAGCAUGAACGAAAUCGUUUCUGUGCUUUCUAACAAGGUUUGCCGUUUGUCGUUCGGACGACCCGCUUUCCAACAGACGACCAAUCCCCGGGCGCAGCUGCCGGGUUAUACCUUUGAAAUUUGGAUUAGAGUGGACGGUGUACCUAAUGAAGUGGCCAGAGCCGGCGAGCGUCAACGCGACCUCGACUCAACUGUCGUUUCUGCUUCUUGUUUUCAUUCCUCGGCCUCGCGUCGACUCGGGCGCGUCGAGACGCGUUUCGCCAGCACUUCCUCCUCGUCUUUUGUCAUGCGUUGACUGCUUCUUUUUUUUUUCUCACCCCCGUCCGUGUCUUCACUUUAGCCGUUUUGUUUUGGGUGUUGAAACUACUUCUGCUUGUUCGCGGUUCCAUUUUAUGUAUUUUAUUGUAUCAAUAAUAUUAAUAUAGAAUACAUUCUAUUUGUAUUCAUUUUAACGUAAAAGGCAAUGUCCUUUCUUGCCAUAAAAUGUCAUUAUAUUAUUUCAUUUGACCAUAAAAAGUAAUGUAAUCAUUUUAUUUAGUUACAUUUUGUUUUUAUGGCAAAAUACAUUUUUCUUAUUUUAUUUUGGUACAUGUUAUUUUAUAUUUUAUUAUUUUACUCCACCAUAAAAGAUCAUUUUCUUAUUUGAUUUUCACAAAAUACUAUUUCCCUAUUGUAUUUCAAUUUACUUUAAUAUGCCAAUUUCUUUAUUUUAGCAUACAUUAAAUACAAUUUCGUAGUUUUUCUAUUUGACCAACCAUUAACAUAUUAUUUUAUUUUACUUUAUCAUAGAAUACGAUUUCCUUCAUUCAUUUCAUUUGACCAUGUCAAUGUGCUUCAUGAUUAUUUUUUGAUCGCAUCAUUUAAGACCAAUUCCGUGUUUGAUUUGAUUCAAUGGGAUUCCAUUCAAUUAAUUGGUGUUUAAUUGUAUUUGACGAGCAGCGGCGCGGCGUCCGACCGGUGAGCACGUCUGCCUCGCAAAUAUUCUGGGGACCGGGGUUCAAUCCCCGGCCCCGCCCGUGUGGAGUUGGCACGUUCUCCGGGUACUCCGCUUUCCUCCCACAUCCCAAAAACACGCGUGCUAGGUCGAUUGGAGACUCUAAAUUGUCCGUAGGUGUGAACGUGAGCGACAUCGGUCGUUUGUUUGGAUGUGCCGUGCGAUUGGCCGGCGACCGGUUCAGAGUCUACCCCGCCUCCCGCCCGAAGACGGCUGGGAUGGGCUCCGGCACGCCCGCGAGGAUAAGCGGUUCAGAAAAUGGAUGGAUGGAUGGAUGGAUGUAUUUGAUGACAUUGUUGUUGUUUAUGUUUUGCGCUAUAUGAUGCAGAAGGCACCUGAAGUCGGGGUAUUGUUCCAGUAGCGGCUGCAGGUGCUCCUUGAUGUGGUUUUUGUUCUCCUGGCCCACGAUGUCGCUCAGGCGCUCUCCGACGGGGUCCAGCCAGUCCUCCCGCGAACCCUGACCCGGCGCCAACAUUGAAAACAUAUAUAUAUACACACACACACACACACACACACACACACAUUUACUUAUAAAUAUGUAUAGAAACACAUAUACACGUGUAUAUACAGGUGUGGUUUUUUUUUGUUGCUGUUUUCCCAGCCGGUACCAUGCGGUGGAAGACGUCCGCGAGCUUGGAGCACUGCGCUCGGAUCUUGCCGGCCGCCUCGUCGUGUUUGCGGUUCUUGCACGAGUACUUGUUCUUCAUCAGCUGGCCCACGUACUCCUUCAGCACGUGGUAGUGCGCCCGGCUCGCCACCUCCUGCCACAAACAUCAAGUCGUCCGUCACACGGAGAGACGCGACGCCGCUCGUGGCUUUCGCACCUGGCCGUGCGGCGGCCGCGCGGCCGCGCAGUGCUGCGCCAGGAGCUCGGCGCGAGCGUAGAGGCGAUCGAAGUCGUCGUCGUUCGUCAGCCACUUCCUCGUCAUCAUCCGCCGCAGGAGAAUGUGGAGCUUUGGAUGGCGUCGACGGUGACUGGUUCUUGGACCCUCUGGACCCCGGCGUGAGCGGACUUUUCUGGGCCACCGGCCGGAUACCGUUUCGGAAAGUCUCCAGCACCCCCGAAGUCUUCUUGGUGGUGUCCUCGUCCUCGUGCUGGAUUUGUGAGCUGGUAUCCAUUACUUGGGGCAUGUGCGCGUCGCGUCAACAGUGAGCUGCGAGCACGCUGAGUAGAGGAGCCAAAAAUUGUAUUUAAGGAAGAGUAUUAUUACCUUAGAAUAUAAUGACUCAACUAAAAGUAAAACAGGGUCCUCCAAACAAUUACUUGCGUGACCAUGAGUAAGUAGUUAGUGAAGUAACUACUCGAGUACUGAGUAACUGGUGAGGUGCGGCGGGCGGGUGGGUGGAGAUGUCAAAAAUUGUACGCAUGUAAGAGCGCUUAUACGUUAGAAAAAUAAGACUCGAGUUCAAGUAAAAAGUCGUCCUGCAAUUCUUACUUGAAUAAGAGGAAGGAGACAACUCAGGUAUUGGGUAACUCCUAAGUCAUUUCUGAUUCUUUUUUUGAACCAGAGCAUGAACGUAAAAUAGACAAAAAUAUUCAUAGAAAUGUGCAAAUUUAGAUAUUGUCCAACAAUAUGGCUUUAGCUAAAAAAAAAAAAGACAUGAAAUCCCAGAAAUGACGGCAAACUCAGCCACACAGAAUGGUCUUACAUGAACUUUCUUCAAGUUUGAAGCGGAGUUCUCGUAGGCUGAAAUGUGGACACUUUUAGGCUGUGCGGUCGAGACUCGCGCUAAGGUCACGUGACUGCCUGGCUCCAUCUGAUUGGUGAAAUGGAGUCAAAGGUCAAUCGGGCUUAUGUUGGAUUGGUGGAACCCAGUCCUUUGACAGAGCCUAAGGUAGAUGUCUUUCUUAGACAUCUACCUUAUGUAGAUCUACCUCUUUAUGUAGAUCUACCUCUUUCUUAGACAUCUACCUUAUGUCUUUCUUUCCUCUUAUGGUUCCUCAGUAAACAUGUGAAAUAUGAAUUCAAACGGUCCACGCAUUCCUGAGUUGCAGACGUUUUUGUGCCGAGAGGCCCAAACUCAGCUCGCUGGAACUUCUCCAGCUUAUCCCCGCCACGAGCCAAGAUCUCCGCCUACCUCUGCGCUCCUGAGCCAGCGCUGUCGACAUACCAAACACCGGUCAGAGGGAAGGGGGCGCUCUUAUCCAAAUAUGGACACUAAACUGGGUCAAACGCAAGUAGCUGUCAGAGGGGCCUUUUCUGGACACUCAAAUGUGACAAAUGUGUUGUUGUUUUUUUUUGUGUAGUUUUUUAUGAACUUGACACUUUUCCACUAAGUCCACGUUAGAGAGUCAUUCUAUGGAGGUCGAAAUUAGUAGGCCCUCUAAAUAAAUGUAUCGCAGUGAUUGUAACGUGUUACUAACCACCCGUGUCUUCUCUUCUCCACUCCAGUGGGAAAACUCUGCCACCUUUUCCUCAUAACGCGCCAACGAGUUUGUCUCGCUACCUUCCUUCCGAAUAAACGAAGUCUGCAAACGCGCAGUCAGGUGCCGGCGCACUUUAAAACCGCGAGCAGCCGUGAGCCCUAAACAAAUUUGAAGAUGAAUUGCGUCAUUUUCUUGGAGGUUAGCUUGCUACAUUUUGCUGGUGGCUAGCUUCAGUGUACUCAAGCUUCAUUUCGUGUGGAAUUACCUGAAGCUCAACUCACUAUUAGCAUUUUCCAAACACUGGUAAAGGUCGUCUUUUUGUGUGUGUGCUUACACACAACAUGGCUGACGCAUUUGUACGGUUGCCACGGAAACGUCGGUGAGGGCACAUCAUCAGGGCGAGUCCAUUGAAAAAUGUCAAUGUCAUCAAUGUGAAAGUUUCAUUCAACGAAUGAAAAAUAGAUUUCGUCAUUUUCAUCCAUCAAGUUUCUUCCAUUAAAACGAAUGCGACAGAAGUCUCAGUCUUGCAUGGUUAAUAAUAAUAUAUUGAAUCAUAGAUGGCGGUGAUAUUAUAUACAACAGUUGGAUUUUAUUAAAUUCUUAUACAUAUGUAUUGUAUUCAAUAUAAAACGAUUUAGAUGAAUAAUUAAUACAUU